rnacentral:misc_RNA from 1 species
UCUCCGUAGGUGAACCUGCGGAGGGAUCAUUACAGAGUUCGUGCCCUCACGGGUAGAUCUCCCACCCUGUGUUAUUGUUACCUUUGUUGCUUUGGCGGGCCGCCAGGCCCCGGCCAGGCUACAGCCCCCCGCUGGUACACGCCCGCCAAAGUACCCCAAACCCGGAACAUUGGUGUCGUCUGAGUACUAUACAAUAGUUAAAACUUUCAACAACGGAUCUCUUGGUUCUG